rnacentral:snRNA from 1 species
AAGAACUCUUCAGCUCCUU